GUUGAUCCGCCACUUCAGAAUCUGGAAGAUAAGAUCCUGCUUCGGCAGCCCAACGAACUCCUCGACCCCUUCCCUCUUGGCGACCUUGUGCAGAUCGUCCACGGUCAUCUUCUGGAGG
rnacentral:rRNA from 1 species